CUCACAUAUCAUGCGCAUAUGAGUAAUCAAAUAUCCCUUCAGAAUAUACAUGGAUAAGUUCUUUUUGAAGAGGACGGCUCAUCGUCGAGAUGUACAUAUGGAGACCCAGCUUUGGCUUGGUAUGCAAAAGCGAGUGCAACAGGUCAACAUUAACAAAAGAAUUGAAGAAACAAUCAAGUCUUGAUAUCACACACACGAUUUUUUGAUUAGACGAAUUUUAUGUUCAGCUGAAGGUAAAAAGUAUUUGGCGAGUAUAGUAAAACCCAUUC